UACGUAGGGGGCAAGCGUUGUCCGGAUUUAUUGGGCGUAAAGAGCGUGUAGGCGGCUAGAUAGGUCCGUUGUGAAAACUCGAGGCUCAACCUCGAGACGUCGAUGGAAACCAUCUGGCUAGAGUCCGGAAGAGGAGAGUGGAAUUCCUGGUGUAGCGGUGAAAUUCGUAGAUAUCGGGAGGAACACCAGUGGCGAAGGCGGCUCACUGGACAGGUCCUGACACUGAGACGCGAAAGCGUGGGUAGCAAACAGG
rnacentral:rRNA from 1 species